GAAAGCAGAUCGCAUGAUCAGCUUUUAAAAGGCGGCGUAAAGCUGUCGCUAUGGGGGAUGGCCCCGCGGUGCAUCAGCUAGUUGGUAAGGUAAAGGCUUACCGGAGGGCGAUGAUGCAUAGCCCGAGUUGAGAGACUGAUCGGCCACAUUGGGGACUGAGACACGGCCCAAACUCCUACGGGAGGCAGCAGUAGGGAAUCUUCCACAAUGGACGCAAGUCUGAUGGAGCAAACGCCGCGUGAGUGAAGAAGGUUUUCGGAUCGUAAAGCUCUGUUGUUGGUGAAGAAGGAUAGAGGUAGUAACUGGCCCUUUAUUUGACGGUAAUCAACCAGAAAGCCACGGGCUAACUACGUGCCAGCAGCCGCGGUAAAU
rnacentral:rRNA from 1 species